rnacentral:rRNA from 1 species
GACGAACGCUGGCGGCGUGCUUAACACAUGCAAGUCGAGCGGAAAGGCCCUUCGGGGUCCUCGAGCGGCGAACGGGUGAGUAACGCGUGAGUAACCUGCCCCAGACUUUGGGAUAACCCUCGGAAACGGGGGCUAAUACCGGAUACGACACAGCUUCGCAUGGGGUCUGUGUGGAAAGUUUUUCGGUUUGGGAUGGGCUCGCGGCCUAUCAGCUUGUUGGUGGGGUGAUGGCCUACCAAGGCGACGACGGGUAGCCGGCCUGAGAGGGCGACCGGCCACACUGGGACUGAGACACGGACCAGACUCCUACGGGAGGCAGCAGUGGGGAAUAUUGCACAAUGGGCGGAAGCCUGAUGCAGCGACGCCGCGUGAGGGAUGACGGCCUUCGGGUUGUAAACCUCUUUCAGCAGGGACGAAGCGUAAGUGACGGUACCUGCAGAAGAAGCGCCGGCCAACUACGUG